rnacentral:rRNA from 1 species
AGCGAACGCUGGCGGUAGGCCUAACACAUGAAAGUCGAACGGCAGCACAGUAAGAGCGUGCUCUUACGGGGUGCGAGUGGCGGACGUGUCAGGAGUACAACGUAAUCUACUUUUUCGGGUGAGAUAACGUAGGGAGACUUACUCUAAUACCGCAUACGACGUAGGGUGGAAGGCAGUGGAUCUUCGGACCUGGCGCGGUUGAAUGAGCCGAUGUCGGGUUAGCUAGUUGGCUGGGUAAAGGCCCACCAAGGGGAGGAUCCGUAGCUGGUGUGAGAGGAUGGUCGGCCACACUGGAAGUGAGACAGGGUCAAGACUACUACGGGACGCCGCAGUGGGGAAUAUUGGACAAUGGGCGCAAGCCUGAUCCAGCCAUACCGCGUCGGUGACGGAGGCGUUCGGGUCGUAAAGCCCUUCUGUUGGGCAAGAACCGCAGCCGGUUGAUACCCCGCUGUUCUGACGGUACUCAAAGAAUAAGCACCGGCUAACUUCGUG